rnacentral:lncRNA from 13 species
CUUAGAUUAUGCUUAUGACUUGGUUUACGUUCAGUUUCAAAGUACUUUGUGGUAUUCUUUUUGAUAUUGCUUUCAUUAUAUAAGUAUGUAUAUUGCCUGGUUCUAGCAUUAUUUAUCUCUGCCUUUUACUGGGAAGUCUUAUGGCUUAUUUUGUUUGUUUUAUUUCCCAGUACUUGAACCACAAGGAGCAGCAUGAGGGGGCUUAUAUCAACAUACACAUACUGACACUGAAAAGAGCAGAAGAAAAACAAAAGCUUGACUUCUCAGAGGCAUUGGGGACAUCGAUAGUGAAUGAAAAAUGUUCAAGGCAUGCUGUGAAGAGAUGUGUGAUUACUUCUUUUCCUCAUUAGUUGAGGGUAAUGUAGAGACGAAAGUAAACAAUUUUUGAGGCAAGAAAACCCAUUGAAAAUGGUUAUCUUGGCUAAUGGGAAUGUGACUGUUACUACUAAAAUAUAAAGAGCUAUUGAAUAGUGCACU